rnacentral:rRNA from 1 species
UAAUACAGAGGGUGCGAGCGUUAAUCGGAAUUACUGGGCGUAAAGCGCGCGUAGGCGGUUUUGUAAGUCGGGUGUGAAAUCCCCAGGCUCAACCUGGGAACUGCAUUCGAGACUGCAUGACUGGAGUAUGGGAGAGGACAGCGGAAUUUCCGGUGUAGCGGUGAAAUGCGUAGAUAUCGGAAGGAACAUCAGUGGCGAAGGCGGCUGUCUGGCCCAAUACUGACGCUCAUGUGCGAAAGCGUGGGGAGCAAACAGGAUUAGAUACCCUGGUAGUCCACGCCAUAAACGAUGACAACUAGACGUCGAGAGGAUUUGCCUCACGGUGUCGCAGCUAACGCGUUAAGUUGUCCGCCUGGGGAGUACGGCCGCAAGGUUG